GGGUUAAUGUCAUGACUAUAUAUUUAACUAGUAAAACCUUGUUCAGUGAGCCAGAUGAGUUAAUGACGGAAGAAUAUGACGUUGCGGCUGCAAGUACAUCGAUUGUCAUGCCUCGCAGCCCAGCUAACCCUCCAAAGACACCGGGGGUGUCAAGAAACAGCGGGAAAGAAGACGGUGUAGCUGUUCUGGCACUCCAAAAGGAGGUUUUGCUUCUCCAAAAAAAGAAAUUAGAGCUUGAAAUUGAAAACUUGCUCGUAGAAAAAAACAAUUUGCAAAUGAACAAUAUUUUAUUGCAACACAAAAUAAGCAAGCUAACCGAAGAAUCAAUUACAUUUACUGUAACGUCCCUAGAAGAAUAGAUAGCUAUAGCGACGUGUACACUUAAUAAAAGUCAUUAAAAUUUAUAUAAUACCUGUACUUAUUUCUAAAUCAUAUUUAUACAUCUAUAACAUAACUAUUUACAAUUAUUCAUACUCUUUCAAUGAGAAAUAAAAUAAUUUAAUUACGAUAA